rnacentral:rRNA from 1 species
GAUGAACGCUGGCGGCUUUCCUAAUACAUGCAAGUCGAGCGAACAGACGAGGAGCUUGCUCCUCUGACGUUAGCGGCGGACGGGUGAGUAACACGUGGAUAACCUACCUAUAAGACUGGGAUAACUUCGGGAAACCGGAGCUAAUACCGGAUAACAUGUUGAACCGCAUGGUUCAACAGUGAAAGACGGUCUUGCUGUCACUUAUAGAUGGAUCCGCGCCGCAUUAGCUAGUUGGUAAGGUAACGGCUUACCAAGGCAACGAUGCGUAGCCGACCUGAGAGGGUGAUCGGCCACACUGGAACUGAGACACGGUCCAGACUCCUACGGGAGGCAGCAGUAGGGAAUCUUCCGCAAUGGGCGAAAGCCUGACGGAGCAACGCCGCGUGAGUGAAGAAGGUCUUCGGAUCGUAAAACUCUGUUAUUAGGGAAGAACAAAUGUGUAAGUAACUAUGCACGUCUUGACGGUACCUAAUCAGAAAGCCACGGCUAACUACGUG